GAGGUCACGGCCGAGAAGAUCGGGAUCGGAGGUGAAGGAGAGGGGGAGAGCUCGAGCUCGAAGAGAGGGGAAGGAGAGGGAGAGAAUGGGUCGCUCGCGAGCCCUAGAUCGCGAGCGAAUGAGGUCGCGAUAGAGACAGAGGGGGGGUUGGGUUGGUACAGGAUUCAAGUAAUUUUUUUGUAAUUUGGGUUUGGGUUAAUCUCUAAUA
rnacentral:lncRNA from 1 species